CACUGUCACUCCUACGGGGAGGCAGCAGUGGGGAAUAUUGCACAAUGGGCGCAAGCCUGAUGCAGCCAUGCCGCGUGUAUGAAGAAGGCCUUCGGGUUGUAAAGUACUUCUAGUCGUGAGGAAGGACGGCGUCGUUAAUAGCGGCGUUGUUUGACGUUAGCGACAGAAGAAAGCACCGGCUAACUCCGUGCCAGCAGCCGCGGUAAUACGGAGGGUGCGAGCGUUAAUCGGAAUUACUGGGCGUAAAGCGCAUGCAGGUGGUUUGUUAAGUCAGAUGUGAAAGACCCGGGGCUCAACCUCGGAAUUGCAUUUGAAACUGGCAGACUAGAGUACUGUAGAGGGGGGUAGGAAUUUCAGGUGUAGCGGUGAAAUGCGUAGAGAUCUGAAGGAAUACCGGUGGCGAAGGCGGCCCCCUCGGACAGAUACUGACACUCAGAUGCGAAAGCGUGGGGAGCAAACAGGAUUAGAUACCCUGGUAG
rnacentral:rRNA from 1 species